AGAAGUCAACUCUCAUUCAACCUGUCUUAUAUCUUUGUGCUCAUCUGCUGGAAUUACGUACUAACAAUUAGCUCUCAGGAGUUUAGCAGCAAAGGACCUAAGUUCGGAAAUAACAGAUACACUGAUUGUGCUGUCAAUUUGCUAUUUUCGUCAGAGAAGUGUAUAGUGUCCCUUGCUGCUUGUCAGUUGAUGAAGUUGGUGCAUCAAACACUUCAAGAUGUUUGUUUGUCAUCCCCAAGAGUGGCGUUGGAAUUCUAUCAUGCUGCAAGGGAUGUUCUGUUGCUGUAUGAAGCUACCAUUCCAAUCAAGAGCUAUGGGGGGUUUUUGUGCUGUUACAUAUCUAAGUUUUGCCCACAAGGGUUAAAGCAAGUCCUUGUAACAGGCGGAAUUCCAUCAAUUAAGGAUGGAUGUAAUGCAGAUGCCGUAUAUCAUGCAUGCUUUGAAAAGAUUGUGCGACAAAAUGAGAAAUAUUAUGCGACAAAAUUAUAUACCGUAAUUCUUUAGUCUUCCCAAUUUCUUCUUUUCUUUGUUCGUUCCCUUAAUUCCUCUGUUUUACACAGGCUUGAGAGAGCCUGGGAUCUGUAGUGCAGCAGCUACCCCCAACUAAGCCCCCUGUGAGAAUGACAUAUGUCAGACGUAAGAGGAAGGAUAAAUCAGGAAUUACAACUUAAUGGUGUCAGCAUUCUGUUAGAAAAUACCGUGAGCAGCAAGUUGGUGAUUGUCACGCAUGAGAGAGGAGUUGUCAGAGCUAGCACUAUAAAUAAGGCAGGAGCCGUAAAAGAAUGUUAUGUGAUAUAUUCUGUCUUUUUCUUGUCCUUCUACCUCAGUUGUAUGCACCAUUGGUGAUUUAAUAGCUUCAAAUACAACUAUUUCUAUCCUAGCCUUAAUAUUAUUACCUUUGUUUCUGGGUACAGAUUUGCAUCCACUAAUUCCAUAACAAACUUGGAGUUGGUGGAAAAACCUGACUCCUUGGUAGGAGUUCGACCUGCUGUUUCUGGAGAUGGAACUGCGUUAGAAGUACUCAUUAAGUGGGAUAACCUGCCAGAUUAUGAGGCAACUUGGGAAGAUUUCCUUGCCGUCCAGACCAGAUUUCCGGCUUUUCACCUUGAGGACAAGGUGACUCUAUUAUUUACUUGUGGACAAGGGAGACAAAGUUCCCACAUGCUGUAUGGAAGGCUGGUCAUGGUCUAAUUGCUCUUCUUUUGUGAAACUUUGAUGUUGUUAAUAAUAUAUGGCUUGAGCCCUUUCCUGGGAGGUU